AUUGAACGCUGGCGGCAGGCCUAACACAUGCAAGUCGAACGAGUGGCGGACGGGUGAGUAAUGUCUGGGAAACUGCCUGAUGGAGGGGGAUAACUACUGGAAACGGUAGCUAAUACCGCAUACCAUCAGAUGUGCCCAUAUGGGAUUAGCUUGUUGGUGGGGUAACGGCUCACCAGGGCGACGAUCCCUAGCUGGUUUGAGAGGAUGCCCAGCAAAACGGGGACUGAGACACAGUCCAGACUCCUACGGGAGGCAGCAGUGGGGAAUAUUGGACAAUGGGGGAAAGCCUGAUGCAGCCAUGCGGCGUGUAUGAAGAAGGCCUUCGGGUUGUAAAGUACUUUCAGCAGGGAGGCGUUACCCGCAGAAGAAGCACCGGCUAACUACGUGCCAGCAGCCGCGGUAAUUC
rnacentral:rRNA from 1 species